GAUCCCUUUAAGAGAAAUGAAUCAAAUUUGUCAGCACUGCGGUGCUAAGAAAUUUCCAGAUGAAAAACAUUUUCUUUGUUGCCAUAAUGGUAAGGUAACUUUGCCUCCACUAUCACCAUUUACACAAGUUUUACAGGAUUUAUUUACAUGGAGUUAUGUAGAUUGUGUAUGUAGAUAAUGUUAAAAGUUCAGAUAAAGUUAAAUGCGCUUUUACUUUUGUUACUAUCGGUUGUUUUGUUAGGCUUAGUGAUGCGCAGAUUUUUUUGUGCACUGUUUUGUGCUUUUUUAAGAUUUUCUUCUGUUCUGGAGUUUUGAGAUUAUAAUUUCCAGACUUAUAAAAAAGCACAUUUAGAAUUAAUUCGUUCUAUUGCAUCUCAUCAUAUCUUCGAAGUAGGUUGUAUUCUGUUUAAUCAUUUUAAUUGUUUACAUUUUUUAUGUCUUAACGUGUUUAUUACCCUUAUUUAAUUUGUUUUUAAGCAUAUUUCUUUUUAUUUUUUAUAUCGAAUUAAUAAUGUCCCAAAACAUUGAAAUGAAGGUUUGUAUUUAUUUAGAUGUGUUAUUAUGUUACGGAUUUGUAUCAUGUUACGUAGUUAGUUCUUGAAUAUGUUUAUUUUUUAGUCGCUGAACUACUAAGAAAUGACGACAGCAUUAUUGGGGAAAUUAACAACAAUGAAAAUAGAGUUAAUAAAGAGAGAGCUUAUGAAGACACAGAGUUAAAGAGUGAGAUAAGUCAGUGUUUUUGCUAUUAGGAGAGUUGGAUCAAAAACUAAGUAUGAACUACAUGAUUAGUAUAGUUAAAUAAAUAAGACAUUUAUAUUAAGAUUUAUAAAGUUUAUUUUAGUUCAUAGUUUUGGUUUAGUUUAUAGUUAUUUUUACUUUAUGGAGGAAAUGA